CAAGCUUUUACAGCUGAGUCAUUGGGAUUAGCUGAGCAUACAUAUCCAGUAGAUGAGUUACAACGCAAGUAUAGCCACCUACAAGGUCUACAGUUGCCACCUGUUGAAUCCGUCCAACCACUCCUCCUUAUAGGGUCAGAUUACCCUCACCUCAUUACCCCAGUAGAGCCAGUUCGUCUAAGCCCACCUAACGGUCCUGCCGCUAUCAAGACCAGAUUAGGCUGGACCCUGCAAGGUCCCACUCAAGAGAUCAAGCAUUGCCUUUCCAGCCAGCAGUGUCUCUUUACUGCUACUUCAAGCUCAUAUACCAACCUGUACAGACAAGUUGAGAAAUUGUGGCAACUAGACGUGCUCCCGUACCGCAGUGAGAAACUCAUUACUCGCUCUAAGCAAGAUCAAGAUGCCCUUGCACUGCUCGAGUCCAAGACUACUAGAGUUACAGUAGAUGGAGUAGCCAGAUAUGCCACACCCUUAUUAAGAGUGAAAGAUAUGCCUCUCCUGCGAGCUUCCCCAGAUACCACUCUGCCUUGUCUCAGAGGAAUUGAGAGGCGAUUAGUCAGAGAUCCAGCACAAGCAGCAGCCUACCAGGUGGAGAUGAACAAGUUGAAGGAGGCAGGAUAUGCACAAGUCAUACAUGCCGAACAAGUGGAGCAAGCUAAGGAGUCGUGGUAUAUUCCCCACCAUAUGACACAACAUAACGGCAAGAACAGAGUCGUUUUCAACUGUUCAUUUCAACAUGGAGGGAAAAAUCUCAACCAGUUGCUUCUUCCUGGUCCCACACUGGGUCCUUCUCUGAUGUCUGUCCUCCUGAGGUUCCGUGAACACACCGUUGCCUUGAGUAGUGAUAUUCGAGGCAUGUUCCAUCAGGUGCGACUGCUACCAGAAGACCGCCCACUGCUAAGAUUCCUCUGGAGGGACCUCAACAGAGAUCAGUCCCCCCAAGUUUACGAGUGGCAAGUUCUUCUGUUUGGGACAACAUGCAGCCCUUGCUGCGCGACUUUUGCCCUCCAAAAGCAUGUCAUCGACCAUAGUCAGCCAGGCGAAGAUGUCCGAGAAAGUAUACAGAAGUACUUCUAUGUAGACAACUUCCUCCAGAGUUUCCAUACCCAAGAAGAAGCCAGGGCACGGGCAUCUAAGUUGCGAGACCUCCUAGCCACAGGAGGAUUUGAUCUAAGACAGUGGGCCAGCAAUGCCCCUCAAGUACUGGACUCUAUCCCAUCUGAAGCCAAGUCAAGUAAACUGGUAUUGUGGCUGACCCAAGAGCAACCAGAAGCACAAGAGUCCGCACUUGGACUACUCUGGCACUGUACCUCCGACACACUGUCAUACAAGUAUCGCCCCAUUGAAGGCUCUGCCCCUACUAUGCAUCAUAUUUACAAGGUUCUGGCUAGUCAGUAUGAUCCAAUAGGGUACAUCGUCCCUUACACCACGAGAGCUAAAGUCCUAGUCCAGCAUCUGUGGGACAAGAAGAGGGAAUGGGAUGACCCUCAACUUCCAGACAAACUGCUCCAAGCCUGGCGAACAUGGGAGCAAGAGUUACCAAACAUUAAGCACAUCUCAAUUCCCAGAUGUUACGUUACUUUAAAGUUGGAUAACCCCCAGAGUAUCAGAACCCUACACAUUUUCUGUGACGCUUCAGAGCGAGCUUAUGGCUCAGUAGCCUACAUCCAUACACUCAGUCCUCAAGGAGACAUGGAGAUAGCUUUCUUGACUGCCUGUUCCAGAGUUUCUCCAAAGAAACAACAGUCCAUACCUCGUCUUGAGUUGUGUGCCGCUAUGACAGGAGCACAACUAGCCAAAUUACUGAAGACCGAGCUCAGUGUUCCCAUACGUCAGGUCACAUUCUGGUCAGAUUCCACCACUGUGCUGGCAUGGAUUCAAGCUGAUUCGUGUCGAUAUAAAGUCUUUGUUGGAACGAGAAUAGCAGAGAUACAGGAGCUAACAGACCCCAAGGAUUGGCGUUAUGUUGAUUCCAAGUCUAAUCCUGCUGAUGACAUCACUAGGGGCAAGACCUUGCCCGAGUUAGCCAAGACAAGCCAAUGGAGUCCAGGCCCAUCAUUCCUUCUCCUGCCUGCAGAUCAGUGGCCUCAGAGUCCUCUCCUACAGCUACCUACUGAGGAUGCAGAGCUGAAACAGGUCACAUUCUGUGGACUUACAGUUCCUGUCCCCCACCCAGCAUUGCCUGAUUGCAAUCAGUUUGGAUCUUAUAAGGAACUACUAGCAGCUACAGCUAGAGCCUUGCAUGGGGCGGCUACCCCUACAGAAGUGCUAACAGCUGAGAAUUAUAGAGAAGCCGAACUAGCCCUCCUUCAUCAAGCACAAAUCCAUAGUUUCCCAGUUGAGAUGGAUCAUCUUAAGUCAGGAAAACCUCUACCGAUAAACAGUCGUCUCUUGUGUCUUGCCCCAGAGUAUGACAGCAGUACCCACCUCAUCAGAGUUGGUGGUCGUCUCAGACGAACAGAGCAGCUAGACGAAUCCGCCAUACACCCUAUAGUCCUCGAGCCUAAGCAUCACCUAAGCAGACUCAUCAUCCAGGACUUCGAUGAAAUUCUACACCAUCCGGGAGCAGAGAGGGUGUUUGCUGAAAUACGUCGUAAGUACUGGAUACUGAGAGGCCGAGAAGCUAUUCGGCAUCACCAGAGAACGUGCUUAGGCUGUAAACAGUGGAGAGGCCAGCCCAGCAUUCCCAGGAUGGCCGACUUGCCUCUUUCAAGAUUGCGCUUACAUCAACCAGCCUUCUACUCCACUGGAGUGGAUUGUUUUGGCCCUUACCUCAUCAAGAUUGGGCGCAGACAUGAGAAACGAUGGGGUAUCAUAUUUAAGUGUCUGACAACGAGAGCUGUAUACCUGGACCUGCUCUAUCAGAUGGACACAGAUUCAUUCUUAAUGGCCCUCCGAAGAUUCAUCUCCCGCAGGGGCAAGCCAUUUGAGAUCAUCUCUGACCAAGGUACAAACUUCAGAGGUGGUGAGAGAACACUACAAGAAGAUUUUGCUGUGCUCCAUCCUUCCCUCCAUGAAAAAUUAGCCAGCCACCAGAUUAGUUUUAAGUUCAACCCCCCAGGAGCUUCACACUUUGGAGGCUGUUGGGAAAGAGAAAUAAGAUCCCUGAAAUCAGCUCUUUGUUCUACUAUAGGGGAUCAAAUUGUGACCGAGGAAGUACUGCGUACUGUGCUUGUUGAGAUUGAAGGCAUUCUCAAUUCAAAGCCAAUCGGAUAUACGUCCUCAGACAUAGCUGACCUUGACCCAAUCACUCCCAACAUGUUGCUCAUGGGGCGGCCUGACUCAUCCUUGCCACAAGCAGUAUAUCCUGAAUCAGAGUUGCUAAGCAAACGGAGAUGGAGACACAGUCAGCUUCUGGCAGACCAAUUCUGGAGACGUUUCCUCCGUAACUAUCUCCCAGACCUGCAAGUCCGACAGAAGUGGCACAGAGAGGCAGAAAAUCUACAGCCAGGCACAGUUGUCAUGAUUGUUGAUCAUCAAUUACCCCGAGCUCUAUAGCCAGUUGGACAAGUAACAAAAGUGUUUCCUGGAGAAGAUAGGCGAACUCGGACUGCAGAAGUGGAAGUCAAGAAUAAGACCUAUCUUCUUACCAUCACCCGGCUCAUCAGCCUCACAGCUUUACCAGAUUGAGUACUCUGUAGUACUAUCCCUUACCUUCGUGCCUUAUCUAAAUUACACAUUUCCACAGCAAAUGUGGGGGCGGCUGUAGAAAAGACCGGCUAUGUACAGAGCCAUUAGUGCCCCCUUGUGACUUUAAGAGCUAUUGUGUUGAUGACUUUUGGCAUUUCCCUUUAACGAUCCCUUUAACAGUAUUAACAAGACGCAGUUCAGACAUUCUUCGCUGUUGUUCAUGCCGUUGUUGUUUUCUACUGAGUGCGUUCAUAUACAAAACCACUCAUAUUAAGCUACAUUCCAAACUACUCUGUACAACUCUGGCAUACUCUCUGCUGCCUGUACUACAAUCGUUCACUCAACCAAAUUCAAGAACUGUAAAUCCUCUACAAGUCUGAAACCAUUAAAGUGUACUUCGUCUCUGACCCGGACGACUUAUGUCUGCUCAAUUUCCACCAGCACCCACAAUAGUCUACCUCACAUACAGU
ensembl:lncRNA